CUUACAAUGUAUAUGUGUAUUCGAGAUAUAGAAUCUUACAAUGUGCCUUGUUGUCAACAGGAAUAGCAAGAAACUGAAUCCCAGCAGAAGGUUUUGCCAUGACCACUGCACAAGUUGCUCAAAAAAUUUAGUCUGCAUAUACAGAUAAGCACAGGCGUUAUUUGCAUCUUGUUGGUGAAAUGGACUAUUCCAAGCAACCCUUUCAGCUGCUGUAGUGACACAAUAAUGGCUGCACCAGCCAUGAAACCUACCAGAGUUGCCUUUGAGAGAAAGUCAAUCACAAAGCCUAACCUAAAGAAAAAAGGUGAGACCUGAGGAAUGGCGAGGCUUGCAAUGGUGAGACCCGAGAUGAUGUCAGAGCGGAGAAGGGAAAGGUUGUAGAGAGGGGCCCAUUGGAAAAUGGGGAAGAUGUAUUGGAGAGCAAGGAGAAGUUUCAUGAAGCAAGUUUGGUUCUUGAACCUGUGAAGAGGAUCAUCUGGGAAGAAUAUCUCAGAGAGUCUAUGUCUAAGUUUUUGCAAGGUGGUUCGUUCUGGUGGCAACUGAACCUUAUGGAUUUCCAUGGCUGGCACUGGCAUUGCCAUUUCUGUAUCACUUUGGAUCUUCAUGCUGCAGCCAUUGUUGCAUGCUAAGUCCUCGACUCUGUUAAAGUUUACACCCAUUAUUGCUCAGUUUUCUCUUAGCAAAAAACACAGAGAAGCUACGAAUUUAUAGAGGCAGAGAAACAAUGGCAUCAACUCAGCAUAGGGUAUCUGUCGUUAUCCAAAUUCCUGCUAUUGGAAUAUUCCGAUUUCUCUUCUUCAACCACUUCUCAUACAACAUAGAAUAACCAGUGAUACACUUUUUUAUCUUCUGUUAAAUAUAAUCACACUCCAAUCACAUAAAAAAUUCUGCAUUAUUCUUCCAUUAAAUGCUUAGUGAGGUAAAUCAUUAUGGAGGCAAUGUUUGUUUUAUAUAUAUUCUCUCUGGAAAUUCAUAAGGAAA